rnacentral:SRP_RNA from 1 species
GCCGGGCAUGGUGGCGCCUGCCUGUAAUUCCAGCUACUUGGGAGGCUGAGGCAGGAGAAUCGCUUGAACCCGGGAGGUGGAGGUUGCAGUGAGCCAAGAGUCACUGCAGUGGCGUCACUGCACUCCAGCCUGGGUGACAAAGUGAGACUCCAUCUCAA